GACGAACGCUGGCGGCGUGCCUAAUACAUGCAAGUAGAACGCACAGGAUGCACCGUAGUUUACUACACCGUAUUCUGUGAGUUGCGAACGGGUGAGUAACGCGUAGGUAACCUGCCUGGUAGCGGGGGAUAACUAUUGGAAACGAUAGCUAAUACCGCAUAAGAACAUUUACUGCAUGGUAGAUGUUUAAAAGGUGCAAAAGCAUCACUACCAGAUGGACCUGCGUUGUAUUAGCUAGUUGGUGAGGUAACGGCUCACCAAGGCAACGAUACAUAGCCGACCUGAGAGGGUGAUCGGCCACACUGGGACUGAGACACGGCCCAGACUCCUACGGGAGGCAGCAGUAGGGAAUCUUCGGCAAUGGGGGGAACCCUGACCGAGCAACGCCGCGUGAGUGAAGAAGGUUUUCGGAUCGUAAAGCUCUGUUGUUAAGGAAGAACGUGUGUGAGAGNGGAAAGUUCACACAGNGACGGUANU
rnacentral:rRNA from 1 species